rnacentral:rRNA from 1 species
CCUACGGGAGGCAGCAGUGGGGAAUUUUGGACAAUGGGCGCAAGCCUGAUCCAGCCAUGCCGCGUGUGGGAAGAAGGCCUUCGGGUUGUAAACCACUUUUGUCAGGGUAAGAAACGGCUCUUACUAAUAUUAGGGGCUAAUGACGGUACCUGAAGAAUAAGCACCGGCUAACUACGUGCCAGCAGCCGCGGUAAUACGUAGGGUGCAAGCGUUAAUCGGAAUUACUGGGCGUAAAGCGUGCGCAGGCGGCUUUGCAAGACAGAUGUGAAAUCCCCGGGCUCAACCUGGGAACUGCAUUUGUGACUGCAUGGCUAGAGUACGGUAGAGGGGGAUGGAAUUCCGCGUGUAGCAGUGAAAUGCGUAGAUAUGCGGAGGAACACCGAUGGCGAAGGCAAUCCCCUGGACCUGUACUGACGCUCAUGCACGAAAGCGUGGGGAGCAAACAGGAUUAGAUACCCUGGUAGUCCACGCCCUAAACGAUGUCAACUGGUNUUGGACGGCUUGCUGUUNUAUACGAGACACGACGNGAGUGCGCGNGGNGAGCGCGAGUAGAGANANAGAGUGNGNGNGAGAGNGCGAGCGACGACGAGGGAGGAGG